UGGGGAAUUUUGCGCAAUGGGGGGAAACCCCUGACGCAGCAACGCCGCGUGAGUGAUGAAGGCUUUCGGGUCGUAAAGCUCUGUCAGAGGGGAAGAAAUGGAAACGGUUAAUAUCCGUUUUCCUUGACGGUACCCUCAAAGGAAGCACCGGCUAACUCCGUGCCAGCAGCCGCGGUAAUACGGAGGGUGCAAGCGUUGUUCGGAUUUAUUGGGCGUAAAGCGCGUGUAGGCGGUUUCUUAAGUCUGAUGUGAAAGCCCUGGGCUCAACCCAGGAAGUGCAUUGGAUACUGGGAAACUUGAAUACGGGAGAGGGUAGUGGAAUUCCUAGUGUAGGAGUGAAAUCCGUAGAUAUUAGGAGGAACACCGGUGGCGAAGGCGGCUACCUGGACCGAUAUUGACGCUGAGACGCGAAAGCGUGGGGAGCAAACAGGAUUAGAUACCCUGGUAGUCCACGCCGUAAACGAUGAGAACUAGGUGUUGCGGGUAUUGACCCCUGCAGUGCCGCACGCUAACGCAUUAAGUU
rnacentral:rRNA from 1 species